rnacentral:rRNA from 1 species
UACGUAGGGGGCAAGCGUUGUCCGGAAUCAUUGGGCGUAAAGAGCGCGUAGGCGGUCCGGUAAGUCAGCUGUGAAAGUCAGGGGCUCAACCCUUGAAAGCCGGUUGAUACUGUCGGGCUAGAGUCCGGAAGAGGCGAGUGGAAUUCCCGGUGUAGCGGUGAAAUGCGCAGAUAUCGGGAGGAACACCAAUGGCGAAGGCAGCUCGCUGGGACGGUACUGACGCUGAGGCGCGAAAGCGUAGGGAGCAAACAGG